GUUCCGUAGGUGAACCUGCGGAAGGAUCAUUACCGAGCGAUUGCGCUCUGGGUCCAACCUCCCUUCCCCGUCUCUUGUACCUCCUUGCGUCUCCAGGCCCGCCUCACCCCCGCCGGGGGGCAUCUAGCCCCUUGGCACGCGCCCUCCGAAGCCAACAACGAAUACUAUCUGCAACUUGCAAUAUCAGUGCUCUGAUAUAUGAUAUCAAUCUAUCAACAACGGAAUUCUUGGUUCCCGCUUCGAGGAAGAACGCAGCAGAUCGCAAGAGCACACGUCUCU
rnacentral:misc_RNA from 1 species